AGAGUUUGAUCCUGGCUCAGGACGAACGCUGGCGGCGUGCCUAAUACAUGCAAGUAGAACGCUGAAGAGAGGAGCUUGCUCUUCUUGGAUGAGUUGCGAACGGGUGAGUAACGCGUAGGUAACCUGCCUUGUAGCGGGGGAUAACUAUUGGAAACGAUAGCUAAUACCGCAUAACAAUGGAUGACACAUGUCAUUUAUUUGAAAGGGGCAAUUGCUCCACUACAAGAUGGACCUGCGUUGUAUUAGCUAGUAGGUGAGGUAAUGGCUCACCUAGGCGACGAUACAUAGCCGACCUGAGAGGGUGAUCGGCCACACUGGGACUGAGACACGGCCCAGACUCCUACGGGAGGCAGCAGUAGGGAAUCUUCGGCAAUGGGGGCAACCCUGACCGAGCAACGCCGCGUGAGUGAAGAAGGUUUUCGGAUCGUAAAGCUCUGUUGUAAGUCAAGAACGGGUGUGAGAGUGGAAAGUUCACACUGUGACGGUAGCUUACCAGAAAGGGACGGCUAACUACGUGCCAGCAGCCGCGGUAAUACGUAGGUCCCGAGCGUUGUCCGGAUUUAUUGGGCGUAAAGCGAGCGCAGGCGGUUUGAUAAGUCUGAAGUUAAAGGCUGUGGCUCAACCAUAGUUCGCUUUGGAAACUGUCAAACUUGAGUGCAGAAGGGGAGAGUGGAAUUCCAUGUGUAGCGGUGAAAUGCGUAGAUAUAUGGAGGAACACCGGUGGCGAAAGCGGCUCUCUGGUCUGUAACUGACGCUGAGGCUCGAAAGCGUGGGGAGCGAACAGGAUUAGAUACCCUGGUAGUCCACGCCGUAAACGAUGAGUGCUAGGUGUUGGAUCCUUUCCGGGAUUCAGUGCCGCAGCUAACGCAUUAAGCACUCCGCCUGGGGAGUACGACCGCAAGGUUGAAACUCAAAGGAAUUGACGGGGGCCCGCACAAGCGGUGGAGCAUGUGGUUUAAUUCGAAGCAACGCGAAGAACCUUACCAGGUCUUGACAUCCCGAUGCUAUUUCUAGAGAUAGAAAGUUACUUCGGUACAUCGGUGACAGGUGGUGCAUGGUUGUCGUCAGCUCGUGUCGUGAGAUGUUGGGUUAAGUCCCGCAACGAGCGCAACCCUUAUUGUUAGUUGCCAUCAUUCAGUUGGGCACUCUAGCGAGACUGCCGGUAAUAAACCGGAGGAAGGUGGGGAUGACGUCAAAUCAUCAUGCCCCUUAUGACCUGGGCUACACACGUGCUACAAUGGUUGGUACAACGAGUUGCGAGUCGGUGACGGCGAGCUAAUCUCUUAAAGCCAAUCUCAGUUCGGAUUGUAGGCUGCAACUCGCCUACAUGAAGUCGGAAUCGCUAGUAAUCGCGGAUCAGCACGCCGCGGUGAAUACGUUCCCGGGCCUUGUACACACCGCCCGUCACACCACGAGAGUUUGUAACACCCGAAGUCGGUGAGGUAACCUUUUGGAGCCAGCCGCCUAAGGUGGGACAGAUGAUUGGGGUGAAGUCGUAACAAGGUA
rnacentral:rRNA from 1 species